ncrna:Enterococcus faecalis EnGen0332 Enterococcus-1 RNA
UCUGCGGAAUGUUUCCUUGUGAUCCACAAGGAACAAGAAUUUUCAAUUUGCCGACGCGUUAAACGAGAUACGAGUAGCAGAGGUAAACGUUCCAUAUUCUGUAGGAAUAUGAGGAGAACGUUUUAUUGAAAAAUCUUGAAUAUAGCAGC